CUAGACGGUCUCCCUACUUCGGG
rnacentral:siRNA from 1 species